GAUGAAAGAACAAACACACUGUUCACUGAAAUACCAGCCCCUGAAGACUCAAGUGCCUAUUUUUGCCUUAUUUUCUUUGUGUGUGUACUUUCUGGAGAGCCAUCUGGAGUGGAGUUACACACUUCUUGGCACCAUUUACCUGCAGAAUUCAGCACCUAUCUCCUAAGCAUAAGGACCUUCUCUUAAAAACCUCAACACCGUUGAAGGGCUACUAGAUGGUCUUAGUAAGGUGCAACUGCCCGGGAAGCCCCCCUCCCCCCUCCAAAGCGUGCUGAGCCCUUAGCAGAGAGAGGGGGAUGGAAGUCACCUUGAGAUUCCAGCUGACUCCCUGCCCGCCCAGAAAGAGAGACAGAGGCCUGGAAGGAGCAUGACAGAGACCAGGCCUACCUGGGAAGCUGGGACUAGCCUGUUCCACCCCCGCCCGAGGGGCCUGCAAUCCGGGUGAAUUCUGGAGGCCAGUGCAGCCAGCAGAGGGCUGCCAUGUGCGGGGGGGGGGGGGGGGGGGGGGGGGGGGGGGAGUGGAAGUCACUGGGGGGUGGGGACAGGCACCAGCCCCGGGAGACUGGAAUAGGGCCCGCCCGGCGUGGGCUCCAGCCUGCCCCACUGGGUCACGACCGACCGUUUGGCUCACCCAGGGCCAAGCCACCAAGGUGGUCAUAAAGGCCUCUGCCUACAGGCCCAGGGGUCAGGCAAGGAGAUCUUCGGGGCCGGCUUUGCUGGAGGAAUUAAAUUUAGAACAGGGAGACACAGUUGCCAGGCAGAAGCGGGAGGUGCUGUGAAGAGAACAGUGCUCUCUGCGAUGACAGAGCUAUGAGGGAGCCUGCUACGCAUGUGCCAGGGGCUUCCGGGCACAUUCUCUGACCCUCACGGUCACCUCCCAGCUGUGUGACUGUCCCCACUCACAUGUGAUUGAAACUGAAGUUCAGAAGAACAAAGUUGUUUCUCUGAGAUCAUUCUGCCCAACAGAGGAGCCCACAUGCAGACCGUUUCGAGCUCAUGUUCUUGUCACCGUAGCGACGGUCGGUCCCCGGGGUCCCCACCAUGAUGCUAAGGCCCAGGCUCAGACCCACAAGGUCUUCUUCGGCGUUUCCGAACGUGCUGAGCGUGCCUGUGCCCCAGUUCACGUUUGCCCCCUGGCCCGCAAGGCCCCUGCCCAGAGUAGGUGCUUUAGGAAGCAUCUGACAGAUGUUGGACAGCCCGCCGAGCACAAGAGGGGCCCGAGGAGGGGUUGGAGCAGAGAAGCUUGAGGCAUCUCCCUCCGGAGUUUUCCUUCACAGGCUCUGCAGGAGGCUCCGGAAUGCUGCUCCAGGAGCUGGUCUGGCCCGGGGACAGAGGCUGGGCGUGCGCCACUCCCCCUGCCCUGAGCUUCCCGCCCGGCUUUAGGUGUGCCAACUCUUGUGAGCCCUGAGCGGCUGGUUCCAGUUCAAGGGCUCUGAGCUGGCUCGGCCCCAAACAGGGCCUCUUUCUGGGCCUCAAUGAAGCAUGCCCAUGAGUCAGCACUGAGACGUAGACUGAGCAACAGGCAGGGCAGGGCAGGACGUGGGAUGGGGAGCGGAGGAUGAAGGAAGGCAGGGGUGGGGGUGGGGGAGUGAGGGGACUGGGCCGAUACCUGGAGGAAUCCGCAUCCUUGCAGCCUCCGCUGGCUGCGCGAUCUCUGCCCCCGCAGAUCCUUCCUGAAGAGUUCUGUCACAGCCACGCCACAGGUGAUGGCAGAUGGACUCCAUGAUGCUUAGGAGGGUCAGUAAAUCUGAAGGACUCGGGUGUGACCUGCCAGGUCCCCCUGCCCGGGCAUGACUGCUCUGAGGACCACUUCACACGCCUGCAGCGCCAAGCCUGGAGGAAGUUGCUAAGGAUGUAGGUGAGGGAGCGGGGGACAGGCCUUCAAGCCCCAUUUCCUGGUCGUGUAACAAUUACCUCAGUAAAAUAAAGUCACACAGUGCAUCUUUUAUUAGACAUUUUAAUACCAUAUCAAAACACCUUGACUAAUGAAGAAAGCUUUUUCUCCAAGCUUUGAACAUUUUUUUUAAACAUUUUAUAAGGUUUUUUUUUU
rnacentral:lncRNA from 1 species